rnacentral:lncRNA from 1 species
GAACAUCCACAUUUUAUUUUUAACACAUGUCUUCCUCAUUCUUCAAUUCAUUCUCAGAUUUUCUCAUCUUCAUCCUUACUCUUCCAACCUCAAUUUUCUCAUCUUUUCUCUCUUCCAACUUAGCGAGGUAAAAAAUUAUUCAUAUUAUUUUUACUUUAUUUGAUUUUCUGUUAAUUGAAUUUUAUUUUAUUAUUGAUUUUUU